AAAAAAAUUAACGUUAACUAACCUUAUCACCGAAAUGGCAAUAAAUAUCAAACCAUUUGCCAUCCCCAAUUAUUGCAUUCACUCUCCUCCUCCACAUCUUCUCACUCAGGAUAUAUUUGACUGAUCGUCUUAACGGCCACGAUGUCUUGGGAUGACGGAAAGCACACGAAGGUGAAGAGAGUUCAGCUUACGUUCGAUGACGUCAUCAGAUCCAUCCAGGUCGAGUACGUCGGAACCACCCUCCAGUCUCAGCGACGUGGCAACGGCGGCACCAAAUCUGACGGAUUCACACUGAGCUCGGACGAGUACAUAACGGGAUUGUCUGGUUACUAUAGAACGACUUUUUCGGGAGACAUUAUAACGGCGUUAACGUUUAAGACGAACAAGAAGGCAUAUGGCCCUUACGGAAACAAAACUCAACACUACUUUUCCGCUGAAGCACCCAGUGGUAAUCAAAUCGCCGGAUUUCUAGGAACCUCCGGCAAUGCUCUCAACUCCCUAGACGUUCACUUUGCUCCCAUUCCUCCCGCUGGUAGCAUCGGACCAAAACCUGAUGAACCCGAAACCAAACCUCCCGGCCAAGAAGAUUCAAAAGGUGAUGGCUCCGGAAUCAAACCUCCCGGCCAAGAAGAUUCAAAAGGUGAUGGUUUCGAAACCAAACCUCCAGGCCAAGAGGAUUCAAAAGGUGAUGGCUCCGGAACCAAACCUCCUGGCAAAGAAGAUUCAAAAGGUGAUGGCUCCGGAACCAAACCUCCUGGCAAAGAGGAUUCAAAAGGUGAUGGCUCCGGACCAAACCUCCCGGCAAAGAAGAUUCAAAAGGUGAUGGCUCUGGAGCCAAACCUCCUGGCCAAGAAGAUUCAAAAGGUGAUGGCCCCGGAAAGACUGGGCUGAUCGGUGGUAACAGUGGAGACGCAUUUGAUGAUGGUCGUUUUGGUGGUGUGAAGAAAAUAACUGUUGGAGCAGAUGAAUACAGUGUGACUUACAUCAAGAUUGAGUACGUAAAGGACGGAAAAGUUCAAACCCUUGAACACGGGACUAUUCGCGGGGAACUACAAGAGUUUUCGGUGGAUUAUCCAAAGGAACAUAUCACAGCUGUUGGUGGAAGCUACGAUCAUAUUUUUACCUACGAUACAACGCUUAUCACAUCGCUAUACUUCACAACCUCCAAUGGAAUUACCUCUCCAUUAUUUGGUAAGCAGAGUGGAAAAGACUUCAAUCUCAAAGGUGAAAAUGGAGGAAAGCUUGUUGGAUUCCAUGGCCGUGGUGGAGCUGCUAUAAAUGCCAUUGGAGCUUACUUUGACACCAGUUCGAAAGGAGGUGACGAUACAAAACCUGUUGACACUGACACCAAACCCGGCAAAGACGAUUCAAAACCUGAUGCCUCGGGAAAGACGGGACUGCUUGGUGGUAAAGGUGGAAACGCAUUUGACGAUGGUCGUUUUGAUGGUGUAAAGAAAAUAACUGUGGGAGCGGAUGAUUUAAGUGUGACCUAUAUCAAGAUAGAAUACAUUAAAGAUGGAAAGGUCGAAAUCCGUGAACAUGGGACGAAUCGCGGGGAACUAAAAGAGUUUUCGGUGGAUUAUCCGAAAGACAAGAUCACAGCCGUUGGUGGAAGCUACGAUCAUAUUUUCACCUACGAUGCGACGCUUGUCACAUCACUAUACUUCACAACCUCCAAUGGAAUCACCUCUCCAUUAUUCGGUAAAACGAGUGGAAAUGACUUCAAUCUCAAAGGUGAAAAUGGAGAAAAGCUUGUUGGGUUCCAUGGACGUGGUGGCACUGCUAUUGAUGCCAUUGGAGCUUACUUCGACACUAGCAGCGAUUCCAGUACUCAAAGAGUGGACGCACAAGGAGGCAAGGGAGGCAUUCAAUGGGACGAUGGAGGCGAUCACGAUGGUGUGACGAAGAUACUUCUUGUAGGUAGUGGUCGAGGUAUUGAUCAAAUCAAGUUCGAUUAUCUCGAAAACAAGCAGCCAAAGGAAGGAACCCUCCAUGGUGUGAAAGGAAGAAGAAGUUUCGAAUCAACGAUUGAGAUAAGUCAUCCCAAUGAGUAUCUAGUUUCAGUCAAGGGUUGGUACGAUGCGUCCAAUGUCAUUCAGGGACUUCAGUUCAAAACCAGCACAAAGACUUCUGAUUACUUUGUGUCCGAAUUUGCUGGAGACGGUACAGAGUUUACACUUGAAGUUAAAGACAAGAAGAUCGUCGGUUUUCAUGGCUUCGCCGACACUGGUCUCAAUUCUCUUGGAGCUUAUUUCGCUCCAAUCUCCUCAACUCCAGUGAAACCUAUCAAGAAGCUAAAAGCCGUUGGUGGUGACGAAGGAACUUCAUGGGAUGAUGGUCCUUUCGACGGCGUUAGAAAAAUAAAUGUAGGACAAAACAAUGAUGGUGUGUCGUUCGUGGAGAUUGAGUAUACAAAGGGCUCUCAGACAGUUCUCGGUGAUGGUCAUGGCAAAAAGUCACCUCUUGGAGUUGAAACGUUCGAGCUUAAUCCAGGUGAAUACAUCAAGGCAGUAGGAGUCUACUAUGAUAAAGUCUAUGUAGGGAACCGUGGUGAGGUAUUGGUGACGAGUUUGGUAUUCAUAACUAACGAGCGAACAUCUCCACCAUUUGGAAUGACCGGUGGAGAAUAUGUUGAACUUAAGGAAGAAGGUCAAAAAAUCGUUGGGUUUUAUGGAAAAGCUAGUGAUUGGGUUCAUCAAAUCGGAGUCUAUGUCACGCCAAUCGCCAAUUGAAAGCCUGUUGUGUUUGUCUCUUGAUUUCCAUAUGAAUAAACAUGAAUAAAGUUAUAUCAGAGCCAUAUUUGUGGAUUUGUCACCUCAAGGUCUCUUGAUGGACUAUGUGUUAUGUUUGUAUUGCAGUGUGAUGUUUCGUGUUGUUGCUUGUUUGUUCUUAAUAAAGGAUGUCUGUUUGAUCAGUG